AUUGAACGCUAGCGGGAGGCUUUACACAUGCAAGUCGAACGAGUGGGGGACGGGUGAGUAAUAUAUCGGAACGUGCGCAGUAGCGGGGGAUAACUACUCGAAAGUGUGGCUAAUACCGUAUACUAUGGGGACGGCCGAUAUCGGAUGAGCUUGUUGGUGGGGUAAAGGCUCACCAAGGCCACGACCCGUAGCUGGUCUGAGGGGAUGACCAGCCACACUGGGACUGAGACACGGCCCAGACUCCUACGGGAGGCAGCAGUGGGGAAUUUUGGACAAUGGGGGAAACCCUGAUGCAGCCAUCCCGCGUGUAUGAGAAGGCCUUCGGGUUGUAAAGUACUUUUGGCAGAGAAGCGGUAUCUGCAGAAUAAGCACCGGCUAACUACGUGCCAGCAGCCGCGGUAAUUC
rnacentral:rRNA from 1 species